rnacentral:rRNA from 1 species
AUUGAACGCUGGCGGCAUGCCUUACACAUGCAAGUCGAGCGGCAGCACGGGGCAACCUGGUGCGAGUGGCGAACGGGUGAGUAAUGCAUCGGAACGUACCUUUCAGUGGGGGAUAACGUAGCGAAAGAUACGCUAAUACCGCAUAUUCUGUGAUCAGGAAAGCAGGGGAUCGCAAGACCUUGCGCUGAUUGAACGGCCGAUGUCAGGUUAGCUAGUUGGUGAGGUAAAGGCUCACCAAGGCGACGAUCUGUCGCGGGUCUGAGAGGAUGAUCCGCCACACUGGAACUGAGACACGGUCCAGACUCCUACGGGAGGCAGCAGUGGGGAAUUUUGGACAAUGGGGGCAACCCUGAUCCAGCCAUGCCGCGUGAGUGAAGAAGGCCUUCGGGUUGUAAAGCUCUUUCGGCCGGGAAGAAAUCGCACGGGCUAAUACCCUGUGUGGAUGACGGUACCGGAAUAAGAAGCACCGGCUAACUACGUGCCAGCCGCCGCCGUAAGAC